rnacentral:snRNA from 1 species
GUAUUAUCCUUAAAGAAAGGAAAACAGGCAGCACACAUAUUAAAAUUGGAAGGACACAGAGAAGAUUACCAUGGCCCCUGCUCAAGGAUGACAUGCAAAUCCAUGCAGUGUUUCAUAUUUGG